rnacentral:lncRNA from 10 species
UGACUCACCUGAAGUCACAUACAGAGGCAGAGCCCGGACAGGAAUCAGGUGUUUUGGUGCCACAGUCCGAGACUUAGGCAAUGCUCCUUAAGGCCUCUUUCUUCCUGAUGUCUCAGGAACCCUUCCAAGGCCACAAGAGCAGGAAGCUGCCAGGGCCAGAUAAGCUCUGCCGGGACAUGAGGUUCCCAGUAGAUGGUGCUUCCAUUUGCUGCCUCCAGCUCUCUGCUCAGCCAUCCCAGUGGGGGUACGGAACCGAUUUGAUGAGAUCAUAAGCGAGGGCUUCGCUCCCUGUUUGGAACACAGCCAAGUGCCCCAUAAACCCCACUGGUAUCGUCAUGACUUGGUGAAGGAACAAGUGGGCAUUACAGAGUGGGAGCCACGUGGCAAAGCCCUGGGGCUUGGACCAGCAUUCGGUCAACAGACACACGCUGGAGAGCUGCGGUGUGCCAGGCAGGGAGGCCACCGAGUGCCCAGCUGGGAAGACCCGGAGGUGGGGUGGAGGCUUGUUAGGAGGCUGGCGCAGGUGGCAGAGGCUGCCCGCUCAGAGCUUGGACUCCCUUUGCAGGUGGGGUCCAGGUCUGCUCUUAUCUGGACGUGGCCCGUGGGCCCCAAAGUUGCCAGCAGACUGGAGAGGCCCCUGGGGCCUGGGCCCCUACCUGUUGCCUGCUCGGGGGCUGGCGCUUGCAGCUUCCCUCCACCCUGCCUCCCUCCUUCCUGCACUUCCAUCUUGCAGGGCUCCUCGGAAAAUGCAAUUUGAGUCAAGCCACUUUCAAUUACUAAGAUGCUGUGUUCUGAGCCCACGAGGUAAUAAAGGGCCUGUUUGCCCUCCUGGGAAUGUUGGGGUUUUUCAGGUGCCAAAGAUGAGAGAGAAAGGAAGUGAGGCCAAGAGCUGCUUGGGGGAGUAAACAGCUCCGAUAGACCCCCGUGCCAGGCGUGUGCCCCCUCCCCAGCCUGCAGCCUGCAGGCACCUGUGCAGAGACGGCUCCUCACAUCAGAGCAGCCAGGAGGCAGGGAGAGCCGGAGAGCUGGAGCUGGUAGGGGUGUGUGCAGCCGUGUGCAAAAGGCAGGGUGUGUGCGAGUGUGCAAAUAUGUGAGCGUGAGUUUUGUGUGAGCAAGUGUGUAUCGGUGAGUGUGCCACUGUGAGGGUGUUAUGUAUGUGAGUGUGAGCGUGUGUGUUGUGUGAGUGUGGGAGUGAGUGUGAGUGUGUGAAUGUGAGAGGGUUAGAGGGUGAGCAUGUAAGUGUGGGUGUGAAUUUUGAGUGUCAAUAUGAGAGCAAGUGUGAAUUUUGAGUGUGAUAAUGUGAGCAUGAGUUUUGAGUGUGAGCAUGAGAUGUUAGUGUGAAUUUUGAGUGUCAGUAUCAGAGCAAGUGCAAAUUUUGAGUGUGUGUGAAUUUUGAUUGUGAGUACAUAAGUGUGAGUGAAUUUUGAGUGUGAGCAAGAGAUAGUGUGAAUUUUGAGUGUUAGUAUGAAAGCGAGUGUGAAUUCUGUGUGAUUUUUGAGUGUAAGCAUGGGUGUAGUUCUGUGUGAGCAUGUUAAUGUGAAUUUUGAGUGUAAGCAUGUGAGUUUGCAUUGAGUGUGAGCAUGUGAGAUUUUGUGUGAGCAUGAUGCUAGUGUGAAUUUUGAGUGUGAGCGUGUGAGUGUGCAUUUCGAGUGUGAGCAUGAGAUGUUAGAGUGAAUUUUACGUUUCAGCAUGAGGUGUUAGUGUGAAUGUUGAACAUUAGUAUGAGAGUGUGACUUUUGAGUGUGAGCGUGUGAGUGUGCGUGUGAAUUUUGAGUGAGCUUGUGAGCAUGUGUACAUUAUAAGGGUGAGUAUGAGAUGUUAGUGUGAAUUUUGAGUUUCAGUAUGAAGUGUUAGUGUGAAUUUUGAGUGUUAGUAUGAGAGUGUGAAUUUUGAGUGUGAAUUUUGAGUGUGAGCAUGAGACUGUGUGUGACUGAGUGCACAGGUGUCCGGUGGUGGGUUGAGGAAGCCCAAACCUCCAACCUUCCCCCUGGGAGUGGGGCCGGGGCUCCAGGGCAGGGCUGGGCUGGGCUCACUUCCCUCCUCUGGGAACCGGGCUCAGGGCCCUGGGGCACCUGGGACUCAGUCCCACCCCUGCUCUCCUUUGCCACACCUGGAAGAUUUUCCUGGUUCUGGUGUGUUCCUUUCAUUCCCAGUUCCUGCUCCCAAGUCCUCAUGCUGAAGCCCAGUGCCACAGCGAGGUUAUAGAGGGUGGGGGUGGUCUGUUCCCCAGGCAGCCUCUGGCCGGCUUCCUCCUCUGCGAUUCUCCACCCUCCGCUUCCCUCUGGUCUGGGCCGUUCUGUCAUCACUGAUGUGAAGAGCUCUGCCUCCCCUUCCACUGGCUUCUGCUUUCCACACUGCUGCAGCCUGCCCCCACCAAACCUGCCCGCCUGAGAACCUGGGUGAGGAGGCCUCUCGGACUGGGAGGGCCAGGUGAGGUCGUGCAGGUGAAGCGCCCACAGGUCAGCUGUGCCCGCUGGGACCUCAGCAGCCCUCGCUCCUGUACCCCAGGUGACCAUGAGCACUGGGGCCGGACACCCAAGACCGUCCCAGACUGAGAAGACCAGGACUGUUUUUCUUUUGCACUAGACGCCCACGUCCCAGCACACCCCUCAGGUAGGCCCUAAACUCAGUGACCG